rnacentral:rRNA from 1 species
UACGAAGGGUGCAAGCGUUACUCGGAAUUACUGGGCGUAAAGCGUGCGUAGGUGGUUUCUUAAGUCUGCUGUGAAAGCCCCGGGCUCAACCUGGGAAUUGCAGUGGAUACUGGGGAGCUAGAGUGCGGUAGAGGGUAGUGGAACUCCCGGUGUAGCGGUGAAAUGCGUAGAGAUCGGGAGGAACACCAGUGGCGAAGGCGGCUACCUGGACCAGCACUGACACUGAGGCACGAAAGCGUGGGGAGCAAACAGG